GAAAAUCCGUUGGCUUUAUUAGCCGUGAGGGUUCAAGUCCCUCUACCCCCA
rnacentral:tRNA from 1 species